GUUUAAUCUGUGUCUGCAAAACUGACCCAAUAUGAACAAUAAAUUAAUAACUUGGGAAAACAGAGGUGUCAUGUCUGUAUGUAAACAAGUGAAGAACAAAUGAUUGUGAUUUCAGUAAAGCAGUAAAAAGGGACAUUAAGUAAAUACUCAGUUUGUAUAAUCGGAAACCACCGUCAUUUAUUUCAUUUUUAAGUACAUUGCAAUUGAGUUUAGCGUGGGGUCAGGUCGCAACACAGAGCUUGCAGCACAGAACAUGACACGGAAUAGUGACAAUAAAAUUAAAUGUACUUAAUGUGGUUAUGUUACAGGGACAAUGCACAAUGAUAAAGAUUUCCAGGCUUGGCUUGGCUUGGCUCGGCUUGCAGCACA